ensembl:lncRNA
CUCCCCACAGGAUCUGCUGGGAGCUGCCCAGCCACAGCCAUGCUCGGCUUCCUCAAGAAAAGUCUCUGUUGCACAGGCUUUCUCUAGCUGUGCCCAACAGAUAUGUGGCUGGGGGUCCCCCAGACCCGGCAGCAAUCCUGCAGCUGACCACAGAAUCCUGAGCUCAUAGCAGCUGCUAUCGGAGCACCGAGGGAUGGUUGUCACACAGCACAAGCUGACGGAUGUGCAUAGGGAGUGAUAGUGACAGAGGCACACCAGAACCCAGAGCCACAGCCCCAGCCCAGCUCCUGGUUCCUGAUCCCCACGUGGUCCUGCAGGAGUUAAUGGAAUAAGAGCAACACCGCCAAAGGAGAAGGUGAAAAAUGCUGAGAGCAAGGAAAGGUUCUGGCUUUUCAGCUGGAAACCGGGCUUAUGUUUCAGCCUUUCUAAUGGCCUCGGAGAAAACUCCCUUCCUCCCCAGAUCACACACCUCGACCUGGGAGGAAACCAGGAAAGAGAGAGUAGAGACGUCCGGACACAGCCUUUGUCUCCACUUUGUCUUCCAUCCAGACAGACCCUCCCUCCUUUGGGAAUUGCACUAAGACUUCACUG